rnacentral:rRNA from 1 species
GAAUUAUUGGGCGUAAGAGCUCGUAGGCGGUUUGUCGCGUCUGCCGUGAAAGUCCGGGGCUCAACUCCGGAUCUGCGGUGGGUACGGGCAGACUAGAGUGAUGUAGGGGAGACUGGAAUUCCUGGUGUAGCGGUGAAAUGCGCAGAUAUCAGGAGGAACACCGAUGGCGAAGGCAGGUCUCUGGGCAUUAACUGACGCUGAGGAGCGAAAGCAUGGGGAGCGAACAGGAUUAGAUACCCUGGUAGUCCAUGCCGUAAACGUUGGGCACUAGGUGUGGGGGACAUUCCACGUUUUCCGCGCCGUAGCUAACGCAUUAAGUGCCCCGCCUGGGGAGUACGGCCGCAAGGCUAAAACUCAAAGGAAUUGACGGGGGCCCGCACAAGCGGCGGAGCAUGCGGAUUAAUUCGAUGCAACGCGAAGAACCUUACCAAGGCUUGACAUGGACCGGACCGCCGCAGAAAUGUGGUUUCCCCUUUGGGGCUGGUUUACAGGUGGUGCAUGGUUGUCGUCAGCUCGUGUCGUGAGAUGUUGGGUUAAGUCCCGCAACGAGCGCAACCCUCGUUCUAUGUUGCCAGCACGUGAUGGUGGGGACUCAUAGGAGACUGCCGGGGUCAACUCGGAGGAAGGUGGGGACGACGUCAAAUCAUCAUGCCCCUUAUGUCU